CAAGACACAAGACGAUAACAAAGCCCCUCUAACUCCUCUGAGAAAGCAACGGUGGUGCAUGCACUAAGAAUUGCACCGAAUUAC